UACAGAGGGUGCAAGCGUUGUUCGGAAUUAUUGGGCGUAAAGGGAGUGUAGGCUGUUAGGUAAGUCUUCUGUGAAAUCUACGGGCUUACCCCGUAACGUGCAGAGGAAACUGCUUAGCUUGAGUGUCGGAGAGGAUAGGGGAAUACCCGGUGUAGAGGUGAAAUUCGUAGAGAUCGGGUGGAACACCAGUGGCGAAGGCGCCUAUCUGGCUGACAACUGACGCUGAAGCGCGAAAGCUAGGGGAGCGAACGGG
rnacentral:rRNA from 1 species